UACAGAGGGUGCAAGCGUUAAUCGGAAUUACUGGGCGUAAAGCGAACGUAGGCGGUUACCUAAGUCGGAUGUGAAAUCCCCGGGCUCAACCUGGGAAUUGCAUUCGAGACUGGGUAGCUAGAAUGCGGAAGAGGGAAGCGGAAUUUCCGGUGUAGCGGUGAAAUGCGUAGAUAUCGGAAGGAACAUCAGUGGCGAAAGCGGCUUCCUGGUCCAGCAUUGACGCUCAGGUUCGAAAGCGUGGGGAGCAAACAGGAUUAGAUACCCUGGUAGUCCACGCCAUAAACGAUGAGGACUAGACGUUGAGAGGGUUAGCCUCCCAGUGUCGCAGCUAACGCGCUAAGUCCUCCGCCUGGGGAGUACGGCCGCAAGGUUGAA
rnacentral:rRNA from 1 species